GAAAAGCCCCCGGCUUCAACCGGGGAGGGUCAUUGGAAACUUGGGGAACUUGAGUGCAGAAGAGGAGAGUGGAAUUCCACGUGUAGCGGUGAAAUGCGUAGAGAUGUGGAGGAACACCAGUGGCGAAGGCGACUCUCUGGUCUGUAACUGACGCUGAGGAGCGAAAGCGUGGGGAGCGAACAGGAUUAGAUACCCUGGUAGUCCACGCCGUAAACGAUGAGUGCUAAGUGUUAGGGGGUUUCCGCCCCUUAGUGCUGCAGCUAACGCAUUAAGCACUCCGCCUGGGGAGUACGGUCGCAAGACUGAAACUCAAAGGAAUUGACGGGGGCCCGCACAAGCGGUGGAGCAUGUGGUUUAAUUCGAAGCAACGCGAAGAACCUUACCAGGUCUUGACAUCCUCUGACAAUCCUAGAGAUAGGACGUCCCCUUCGGGGGCAGAGUGACAGGUGGUGCAUGGUUGUCGUCAGCUCGUGUCGUGAGAUGUUGGGUUAAGUCCCGCAACGAGCGCAACCCUUGAUCUUAGUUGCCAGCAUUCAGUUGGGCACUCUAAGGUGACUGCCGGUGACAAACCGGAGGAAGGUGGGGAUGACGUCAAAUCAUCAUGCCCCUUAUGACCUGGGCUACACACGUGCUACAAUGGACAGAACAAAGGGCAUCGAAACCGCGAGGUUAAUCCAAUCCCACAAAUCUGUUCU
rnacentral:rRNA from 1 species